rnacentral:lncRNA from 1 species
AUUUUAAACGGAAAACUUCAAACACCACCCUGUGGUUUCGCACUUUUUUAUUUAGUAUCCAGUGGUUAAAGUGUAUCAGUUUAGUACCGUGUGAUUUCGUACGUACUUUCUCACUUUAGUACGUUGUGGUUUAAAGUGCAUUAGUUUACUGCGCUGUGGUUUCAUUUUUCUCUUUUCGGCUCCUUUAUUAAUAUUUUAUUAAAUUAUAUACAAAAAAACUUCAGAUACUCUAUUUAGAUUUAUCAAAUAUUUACUUUAGUACCCUUUAGUUUUAAGUUUGUCACUGAUUAUUUUUCCUCCAUUAAUAUUUCGUUAAAUUAUAUGCAAAAAAAACUUUAAAUAUCCUACCUAGGUUUAUCGAAUAUUCACUUUAGUACUCUUUAAUUUUAAUUUUGUCACUGAUUUAACAAAAAAAUUAGUGAAAUGGAUAAUAAAAGUAAAAAAAAAAAACCACAGGGUACUAAAGUGAGAAAGUGUGAAACCAUAGAGGGGUAUUUGAAGUUUACCUAUUUUAAACCUUAUCCUUUUAAGCGGUUACGUAAUAGGUUUGUGGACCAAGCAUGUGGGGUCAGGGAUGCAAACGGAUCCGGAUUGAUGGAUGCAGCUCAAUCUCGAUCCGCUCUAUAUAAAAUAUUAAAUAUGAAUAAAAAAUAAAAAAAAACUUUAAAUAUCAUCCUUGUUAUUUCGUACUUUCUUAUUUUAUUACUCUAUAGUUUAAAGUGUAUCAAUUUAGUAUUCUAUGGGUUUUUUUUUUUUUUUUCGUCAGCUUUUUCGUUAACAUUUCCUUAAACUAUAUACAAAAAACUUUUACCCCAUAUAGAUUUAUCGAAUAUUCACUUUAGUACCUUUUAGUUUUUACUUUGUCACUGAUUUAACCAAAAAAAAUUAAUAGUGGGGAUAAUAAAAUGAGAAAAAUGGAACUACGGAUUACUAAAUUGUUACACUUUAAACUAUAUAGUAUUAAAAUAAAAAAAAGUUGAUACUAAAUUAAUAUAUAUUACCAACCACA